CGUGGGGAACCUGCCCCAUAGUCUGGGAUACCACUUGUAAACAGGUGCUAAUACCGGAUAAGAAAGCAGAUCGCAUGAUCAGCUUUUAAAAGGCGGCGUAAGCUGUCGCUAUGGGAUGGCCCCGCGGUGCAUUAGCUAGUUGGUAAGGUAAAGGCUUACCAAGGCGAUGAUGCAUAGCCGAGUUGAGAGACUGAUCGGCCACAUUGGGACUGAGACACGGCCCAAACUCCUACGGGAGGCAGCAGCC
rnacentral:rRNA from 1 species